rnacentral:rRNA from 1 species
UACAGAGGUCUCAAGCGUUGUUCGGAUUCAUUGGGCGUAAAGGGUGCGUAGGCGGCGCGGUAAGUCGGGUGUGAAAUCUCGGAGCUUAACUCCGAAACUGCAUUCGAUACUGCCGUGCUUGAGGACCGGAGAGGAGACUGGAAUUUACGGUGUAGCGGUGAAAUGCGUAGAUAUCGUAAGGAAGACCAGUGGCGAAGGCGGGUCUCUGGACAGUUCCUGACGCUGAGGCACGAAGGUCAGGGGAGCAAACGGG